UACGGUAGUGAAGUCAUUGAUGCCAUGCUUCCAGGAAAAGCCUCUAAGCUUCAGAUUGUAAGGAAUCGUACCCCAAACCGACACAGGUGGUCGGGUAGAGAAUACCAAGGCGCUUGAGAGAACUCGGGUGAAGGAACUAGGCAAAAUGGUACCGUAACUUCGGGAGAAGGUACGCUCUUGAUGGUGAAGUCCCUUGCGGAUGGAGCUGACGAGAGUCGCAGAUACCAGGUGGCUGCAACUGUUUAUUAAAAACACAGCACUGUGCAAAAUCGUAAGAUGACGUAUACGGUGUGACGCCUGCCCGGUGCCGGAAGGUUAAUUGAUGGGGUUAGCGUAAGCGAAGCUCUUGAUCGAAGCCCCGGUAAACGGCGGCCGUAACUAUAACGGUCCUAAGGUAGCGAAAUUCCUUGUCGGGUAAGUUCCGACCUGCACGAAUGGCGUAAUGAUGGCCACGCUGUCUCCACCCGAGACUCAGUGAAAUUGAAAUCGCUGUGAAGAUGCAGUGUACCCGCGGCUAGACGGAAAGACCCCGUGAACCUUUACUACAGCUUGGCACUGAACAUUGAACCUACAUGUGUAGGAUAGGUGGGAGGCUUUGAAGACGUGACGCCAGUUGCGUUGGAGCCGUCCUUGAAAUACCACCCUUGUAUGUUUGAUGUUCUAACGUUGGCCCCUAAUCGGGGUUGCGGACAGUGCCUGGUGGGUAGUUUGACUGGGGCGGUCUCCUCCCAAAGAGUAACGGAGGAGCACGAAGGUGGGCUAAUCACGGUUGGACAUCGUGAGGUUAGUGCAAUGGCAUAAGCCCGCUUAACUGCGAGAAUGACGGUUCGAGCAGGUGCGAAAGCAGGUCAUAGUGAUCCGGUGGUUCUGAAUGGAAGGGCCAUCGCUCAACGGAUAAAAGGUACUCCGGGGAUAACAGGCUGAUACCGCCCAAGAGUUCAUAUCGACGGCGGUGUUUGGCACCUCGAUGUCGGCUCAUCACAUCCUGGGGCUGAAGUCGGUCCCAAGGGUAUGGCUGUUCGCCAUUUAAAGUGGUACGCGAGCUGGGUUUAGAACGUCGUGAGACAGUUCGGUCCCUAUCUGCCGUGGGCGUUGGAAGAUUGAAGGGGGCUGCUCCUAGUACGAGAGGACCGGAGUGGACGAACCUCUGGUGUUCGGGUUGUGUCGCCAGACGCAUUGCCCGGUAGCUAAGUUCGGAAUCGAUAACCGCUGAAAGCAUCUAAGCGGGAAGCGAGCCCUGAGAUGAGUCUU
rnacentral:rRNA from 1 species